rnacentral:misc_RNA from 1 species
GAUGAAGAACGUAGCGAAAUGCGAUACGUAAUGUGAAUUGCAGAAUUCAGUGAAUCAUCGAGUCUUUGAACGCACAUUGCGCCCCCUGGUAUUACGGGGGGCAUGCCUGUCCGAGCGUCAUUGCUGCCCUCAAGCACGGCUUGUGUGUUGGGCCUCCGUCCUCCUCCCGGGGGACGGGCCCGAAAGGCAGCGGCGGCACCGCGUCCGGUCCUCGAGCGUAUGGGGCUUCGUCACCCGCUCUUGUAGACCCGGCCGGCGCUUGCCGACACAUCAAUCUUUUUUCCAGGUUGACCUCGGAUCAGGUAGGGAUACCCGCUGAACUUAAGCAUAUCAAUAAGCGGAGGA